UACAGAGGUGGCAAGCGUUGUUCGGAAUUACUGGGCGUAAAGGGCGCGUAGGCGGUUCGCUAAGUUGCUGGUGAAAUCCCGGGGCUCAACUCCGGGGCUGCCGGUAAGACUGGCGGGCUCGAGCACGGUAGAGGCAGAUGGAAUUCCCGGUGUAGCGGUGGAAUGCGUAGAUAUCGGGAAGAAUACCGGUGGCGAAGGCGUUCUGCUGGGCCGUUGCUGACGCUGAGGCGCGACAGCGUGGGGAGCAAACAGG
rnacentral:rRNA from 1 species